UCUAGUAUAGCAUCUAUACGGUGAAACUGCGAAUGGCUCAUUAAAUCAGUUAUCGUUUAUUUGAUAGUACCUUACUACUUGGAUAACCGUGGUAAUUCUAGAGCUAAUACAUGCUAAAAACCUCGACUUCGGAAGGGGUGUAUUUAUUAGAUAAAAAACCAAUGCCCUUCGGGGCUCCCUGGUGAUUCAUAAUAACUUAACGAAUCGCAUGGCCUUGUGCCGGCGAUGGUUCAUUCAAAUUUCUGCCCUAUCAACUUUCGAUGGUAGGAUAGUGGCCUACCAUGGUUUCAACGGGUAACGGGGAAUUAGGGUUCUAUUCCGGAGAGGGAGCCUGAGAAACGGCUGCCACAUCCAAGGAAGGCAGCAGGCGCGCAAAUUACCCAAUCCCGACACGGGGAGGUAGUGACAAUAAAUACUGAUACAGGGCUCUUUUGGGUCUUGUAAUUGGAAUGAGUACAAUUUAAAUCCCUUAACGAGGAACAAUUGGAGGGCAAGUCUGGUGCCAGCAGCCGCGGUAAUUCCAGCUCCAAUAGCGUAUAUUAAAGUUGUUGCAGUUAAAAAGCUCGUAGUUGAACCUUGAGCCUGGCUGGCCGGUCCGCCUCACCGCGUGCACUGGUCCGGCCGGGUUUUUCCUUCUGGGGAGCCGCAUGCCCUUCACUGGGUGUGUCGGGGAACCAGGACUUUUACUUUGAAAAAAUUAGAGUGUUCAAAGCAGGCCUAUGCUCGAAUACAUUAGCAUGGAAUAAUAGAAUAGGACGUGUGGUUCUAUUUUGUUGGUUUCUAGGACCGCCGUAAUGAUUAAUAGGGAUAGUCGGGGGCAUCAGUAUUCAAUUGUCAGAGGUGAAAUUCUUGGAUUUAUUGAAGACUAACUACUGCGAAAGCAUUUGCCAAGGAUGUUUUCAUUAAUCAGUGAACGAAAGUUAGGGGAUCGAAGACGAUCAGAUACCGUCGUAGUCUUAACCAUAAACUAUGCCGACUAGGGAUCGGGCGA
rnacentral:rRNA from 1 species